rnacentral:rRNA from 1 species
AUUGAACGCUGGCGGCGUGCCUAAUACAUGCAAGUCGAACGAAGUGGCGCACGGAUGAGUAAUAUCUAGUUAGUCUGCCCUCCCAAGCGGAACAACCGUUGGACACAACUGCUAAUACCUCCUAGUGUAGGAUGAGACUAUAUCGUAUCAGCUAGUUGGUAAGGUAAUGGCGUACCAAGGCUAUGACGCGUAACUGGUCUGAGAGGAUGAUCAGUCACAGUGGAAGUGAGGCACCGUUCAAACUCCGACCGCAGGCAGCAGUAAGGAAUAUUGCGCAAGGGGGGAAACUCUGACGCAGCAACGCCGCGUGGAGGAUGACAAUUAUCGGAGCGUAAACUCCUUUUAUCAGGAAAGCGGUACCGGAUGAAUAAGCACCGGCUAACUCCGUGCCAGCAGCCGCGGUAAUAC